rnacentral:rRNA from 1 species
UACGUAGGUGGCAAGCGUUAUCCGAAAUUAUUGGGCGUCAAGAGGGAGCAGGCGGCAGCAAAGGUCUGUGGUGAAAGACUGAAGCUUAACUUCAGUAAGCCAUAGAAACCGGGCAGCUAGAGUGCAGGAGAGGAUCGUGGAAUUCCAUGUGUAGCGGUGAAAUGCGUAGAUAUAUGGAGGAACACCAGUGGCGAAGGCGACGAUCUGGCCUGCAACCGACGCUCAGUCCCGAAAGCGUGGGGAGCAAAUAGG